UACGAAGGGUGCAAGCGUUACUCGGAAUUACUGGGCGUAAAGCGUGCGUAGGUGGUUUGUUAAGUCUGAUGUGAAAGCCCCGGGCUCAACCUGGGAAUUGCAUUGGAUACUGGCAGGCUAGAGUGCGGUAGAGGGUAGUGGAAUUCCCGGUGUAGCAGUGAAAUGCGUAGAGAUCGGGAGGAACACCAGUGGCGAAGGCGACUACCUGGACCAGCACUGACACUGAGGCACGAAAGCGUGGGGGAGCAAACAGG
rnacentral:rRNA from 1 species